GUAAUAUCAACCAUUAUGUGUUUAUUAGGAGGAGGUGACAGAUUCGCAAUGUGUGAAAGCAUGUGAAGAGUGUGAGGAAGAUGAGUUAUACGCAAAUCUCACCAUGCCUACAGAUUCACAAUAUAAUUUAUACAUGAAUGCAAAUCAGUUACAAGGGGAAAUAGAAGAUUGGAGUGACAUUAAUGAUGAAUUGUUUGCCUUGUUAACUCUACCUGAGGAGUCUCAAGAGAUUUCCUAUAGUGGGGCCCA